UCUAGUAUACAUUCUUGACCAGCAUCAAUAUCAUAUCAAUAUGAUGAGCUGUGGGUAGCUUAUCUCGACUUGGUUUUGGAUCAGAGUCGGAUCCGGAGCCAGAGCCCAAGUCAGAGCCGUAGCCAAAGCCGUGGCAAAUUAAAUAUGCAUACGUAUUCAAAUUACAAAGCGCGCGAGGCUCAGGCACAAAUAUUUAUAUAUAUACACACACACACUCAGAUGGAUAUUGGGUAUGCCCAGGAGAAAGAUUUUUGGUUUUUCCAGGCCAGCGCCCGUUGCUUGGUAUUGGUUAAGGCGCAUCAUUAAAGUCCCUGCUUGGAUAUAUUCCCUGGCAGCACUGCGUGUCUGGCCGCCCUUUUGUUUUUGUUCCAAUUUUUGCCAAAGAAACUGAAAACAAAUAUUGCCACUGCGAUAACAACAACAAAAGCAAAAGCAGCAAGAAAAUAGAAGAAAUUAUGGUAGGCAUAAAAAUAAAUUAAUGGCUCUGCGUGUGGUGAGCAAGGACAAAGCGACGCCUAAUA